GAAGAGGUUGUGUUUCAGCUGCCGGUGGUGUCGGAUCCGGUGAUCGAAGAGGUUGCGCAGCCUGCUUUUGUUGAGGAGCCCAUUGUCGAAGAGUUCAUCGUGGACCAUCCUUCAUCCCCCCAGCACCUUGACUAGACGAAUCCCUCUUAUGUCUCUUUCGUUUGUACAAGAUUGUCUUCUCUUUUUUUUUCAUGGAGGCUGUUCCUGUUGUAAAGUUUCCUUUGGACCUACUUUAUAUAAUCGUGUGAUUUGAUCCUCUUGAAUGUUCUGGAUGGUGUUACUUUAUUUUUAUUGUUAUCGUGUAAUAUUCCCAUGUUUUAUGUUUGUCUACAUGACCUCCUACUUCUCUGUAAAAGGCUCGUUGUUAAAAUCUGACUGAUUAUGAAUAUGAUCGGAAUUUUGUUGAGUGUUCAUGUGUUGGGAAGGGUGUAUGUAAGCAACCAUGAAGAAUUUUGUUUUAAGAUUUUAGUUCUCUAUCUUUCUGUCAUUUGUGCAGCCAUUGUGUAGCUCCCUUUUUAAGCAUCCGCUGUCCCCUUGGUCUGCGCAGUCAUAUCUGCGCGUCCACUAUCCCCUUGGUCUGCGCAGGUCCAUUUUUGCGCAUCCACUAUCCCCUUGUUCUGCGUAGUCAUUUCUGCGCGGCCACUUAUGCAAUCCAUUAUCUUUUUAUUGUGAUAGAAUUUUGUCUUUGUAAUUUUUUUUUUUUUUUAGGGAUUUCGUCUUCUUGAUAUCCUGGCAUUUCUUCUUGAGUAAUAGUGCUAUUUUCUUUCUUUAGAUCCUUGGUGAUAGUUUCCCUUGAAUAGUUUCCCUCAAGAUGGUACACCCCUAAGGUGGAACAAAGAUGGUACAUUUCCGCAGCGCGGCCCUCAAGAUGGUACAUUUCCGUAGCGCGGCCCUUAAGAUGGUACAUUUCCGCAGCGCGGCCCUUAAGAUGGUACAUUUCCGCAGC
rnacentral:lncRNA from 1 species